rnacentral:rRNA from 1 species
GAUGAACGCUGGCGGCGUGCCUAAUACAUGCAAGUCGAGCGAACAGAUGAGGAGCUUGCUCCUCUGACGUUAGCGGCGGACGGGUGAGUAACACGUGGAUAACCUACCUAUAAGACUGGGAUAACUUCGGGAAACCGGAGCUAAUACCGGAUAAUAUAUUGAACCGCAUGGUUCAAUAGUGAAAGACGGUUUUGUUGUCACUUAUAGAUGGAUCCGCGCCGCAUUAGCUAGUUGGUAAGGUAACGGCUUACCAAGGCAACGAUGCGUAGCCGACCUGAGAGGGUGAAGGGCAACAGGGGAACGGAACACGGGCCAAACCUCCAAGGGGGGGAGCAAGAGGGAAUACUCCAGAAAGGGGAAAAGACAGGAGGGGCAAGCGAGGGGGGAGGAAGAAGGUUUUGCGAAUAUAAAAACUUUUUUAUGGGAGAAAAAAAAAGGGUAAAGAAAAAUUGCAGUUCUGAAGGUACCAAAAUAAAAAGGACACGAAAAACAAGGGC